UACGGGGGGGGCAAGCGUUGUUCGGAUUUACUGGGCGUAAAGGGCGCGUAGGCGGUCAGCACAAGUCAGUUGUGAAAUCUCCGGGCUUAACUCGGAAAGGUCAACUGAUACUGUGCGACUAGAGUGCAGAAGGGGCAACUGGAAUUCUCGGUGUAGCGGUGAAAUGCGUAGAUAUCGAGAGGAACACCUGCGGCGAAGGCGGGUUGCUGGGCUGACACUGACGCUGAUGCGCGAAAGCCAGGGGAGCGAACGGG
rnacentral:rRNA from 1 species